rnacentral:pre_miRNA from 1 species
UUGCUACUCCCUCCGUUCGGAAUUACUCGUCCAAGAAAUGAAUGUAUCUAGAUGUAUUUUAGUUAUAAAUACAUCCAUUUUUGUGACAAGUAAUUCCGAACGGAGGGAGUAGGUA